AACUCCUUGGCCCACACGGGAUUGAGCUUCAGGGGCCACUGCGGGGUCGAAGUCAGAGCAUGGCUACAGAGUGGAGAAGGUGCGGAAGCCGACCCCCGUCCUGAGAGGAUGGCGGGGACCUGGGCCUGUCAGCACGGUGCUCUUGAAUCUCAGGAGAAAAGGCCUAGGACGCCGAGGGAUGGUGCAUGCUGGGCCCUGGCAGAUGGAUGGAGGGAUGCCGAGACGGGCGGAAAUUCCUGGAAAAUGAAGAGAGCACUAUUUCAGAGGGGAACAUCCCUGCGUCAGAGGAGGCAGCUGCUGAACGUUGCUGAAAGGGAAAGGAACCUGCAAAACAGUGAUGGUGGCAGCAGUGCGGCCGCGGAAGGCGGGCAAGCCUGUGCCCUGCGGCCCUGAACCUGCACCCGCCCCGUCCUUUCCUUGGGGUGAGGGGACCAACCUGGCCUCCCUGCAGGGGCCUGGGCAUAGGGCCUGGGGCACGGGACAGAGCUGCACAGGGGGGACCUGCCUGCGCCGGACAGCUGGGCCCACCAAGGCCGCCAGACAGCCCAAACCCUUCCCAGGCUGCAGGGAGGCCCCAGCUGGUGUGGCCUCAAACCCGGCAUCUGUUUCUUCACUCCUGGGGCUCCCUUUGAACUUGAACCUUGCAAAGCCCAAGUAACAAUAAAAAAGCCAAGGAACAGGUGCUGCGGCAGAGGACGGGGGACAGGCCGUCUGGGAGCCUCAGGGGGUGCCGCCUUUGUUUCAGCGCCUGCAGUCUCCGGCUCCCGCAUGAAACUGCUCGGGACCCACGUCAGCGCCAAGUUCCAACGAGGAAAAUAUAGCAGCGCACAAUAUGUUGUUUUGGCAGAAAGCUAUGAAUUUUAGUAUGGAAUGUCUGUCACAGGGCCCAUCCAAUUAACUCACUUGUCGAGAAAUCAGAAUAAAUAGUUGAGAGGAGGCGA